UCCGGUUGAUCCUGCCGGAGGCCACUGCUAUCGGGGUCCGACUAAGCCAUGCGAGUCAUGGGGCUCCCUUUUGGGAGCACCGGCGAACGGCUCAGUAACACGUGGCUAACCUACCCUCGGGUGGGGGAUAACCUCGGGAAACUGAGGCUAAUCCCCCAUAGGGGAGGAGGUCUGGAAUGAUCCCUCCCCGAAAGGCGUAAGCCGCCCGAGGAUGGGGCUGCGGCGGAUUAGGUAGUUGGUGGGGUAAUGGCCCACCAAGCCUACGAUCCGUACGGGCCCUGAGAGGGGGAGCCCGGAGAUGGACACUGAGACACGGGUCCAGGCCCUACGGGGCGCAGCAGGCGCGAAACCUCCGCAAUGCGCGAAAGCGCGACGGGGGGACCCCGAGUGCCCUGCCUCUGGCAGGGCUUUUCCGGAGUGUAAACAGCUCCGGGAAUAAGGGCUGGGCAAGUCCGGUGCCAGCAGCCGCGGUAAUACCGGCGGCCCAAGUGGUGGCCACUGUUAUUGGGCCUAAAGCGUCCGUAGCCGGCCCGGUAAGUCUCUGCUUAAAUCCCGCGGCUUAACCGCGGGGCUGGCAGAGAUACUGCCGGGCUUGGGACCGGGAGAGGCCGGGGGUACCCCAGGGGUAGCGGUGAAAU
rnacentral:rRNA from 1 species